rnacentral:rRNA from 1 species
ACAAGAACGCCCGGGCUUCGGCCUGGUUAUUCAUAACCCUUUGUUGUCCGACUCUGUUGCCUCCGGGGCGACCCUGCCUUCGGGCGGGGGCUCCGGGUGGACACUUCAAACUCUUGCGUAACUUUGCAGUCUGAGUAAACUUAAUUAAUAAAUUAAAACUUUUAACAACGGAUCUCUUGGUUCUGGCAUCGAUGAAGAACGCAGCGAAAUGCGAUAAGUAAUGUGAAUUGCAGAAUUCAGUGAAUCAUCGAAUCUUUGAACGCACAUUGCGCCCCCUGGUAUUCCGGGGGGCAUGCCUGUUCGAGCGUCAUUUCACCACUCAAGCCUCGCUUGGUAUUGGGCAACGCGGUCCGCCGCGUGCCUCAAAUCGUCCGGCUGGGUCUUCUGUCCCCUAAGCGUUGUGGAAACUAUUCGCUAAAGGGUGUUCGGGAGGCUACGCCGUAAAACAACCCCAUUUCUAAGGUUGACCUCGGAUCAGGUAGGGAUACCCGCUGAACUUAAGCAUAU